rnacentral:rRNA from 1 species
CCUGGUUGAUCCUGCCAGUAGUCAUAUGCUUGUCUCAAAGAUUAAGCCAUGCAUGUGUAAGCACACACUGUUUUAAAAGUGAAGCCGCGAAUGGCUCAUUACAACAGCCACAGUUUAUUAGAACUUACAUACAUGGAUAACUGUGGUAAUUCUAGAGCUAAUACACGCACAAAAACUUCAACUAUACAAUGGUUGAAGUGCUUUUAUUAGAACAAAAACCGAACGGCGUUCGACUUGUGUUGAACGUCGAAACUCUUUGGUGAAUCUGAAUAACUAUUUCUGAUCGCAUGGUCUAGCACCGGCGACAUCACUUUCAAGUGUCUGCCUUAUCAACCUUCGAUGGUAGUCUAUGCGACUACCAUGGUGAUAACGGGUAACGGAGAAUCAGGGUUCGACUCCGGAGAGGGAGCCUGAGAAACGGCUACCACAUCCAAGGAAGGCAGCAGGCGCGCAAAUUACCCACUCCCAGCUUGGGGAGGUAGUGACGAAAAAUAACGAGACGAUUCUCGUUUGAGAAACGUUAUCGAAAUGAGUACGCUUUACACACGCUAACGAGUAGCAAUUGGAGGGCAAGUCUGGUGCCAGCAGCCGCGGUAAUUCCAGCUCCAAUAGCGUAUAUUAAAGUUGCUGCGGUUAAAACGCUCGUAGUUGAAUUGUGGUCUUAGACAACAGUCCCCCUAUAUAGGUGUGGCACGGUUGCUCGAGAUCUUCAUUCGUGGUUGCUGUUGUUGCUCUUCAUUGAGUGUCAAUGGUGCCUCGAGAUUUUACUUUGAAAAAAUUAGAGUGCUCAAAGCAGGUUGUGAUGCCUGAAUAAUGGUGCAUGGAAUAAUAGAAUACGAUCUCGGUUCUAUUUUGUUGGUUUUCGAACCGGAGAUAAUGAUUGAAAGGAACAGACGGGGGCAUUCGUAUUGCUGCGUUAGAGGUGAAAUUCUUGGAUCGCAGCAAGAUGAACAAUUGCGAAAGCAUUUGCCAAGAAUGUUUUCAUUAAUCAAGAACGAAAGUUAGAGGUUCGAAGGCGAUCAGAUACCGCCCUAGUUCUAACGGUAAACUAUGCCAACCAGCGAUUCGCCGAAGUUCAUUUAAGACUCGGCGAGCAGCUUCCGGGAAACCAAAGUGUUUCGGUUCCGGGGGAAGUAUGGUUGCAAAGCUGAAACUUAAAGGAAUUGACGGAAGGGCACCACCAGGAGUGGAGCCUGCGGCUUAAUUUGACCCAACACGGGAAAACUCACCCGGCCCGGACACUGAAAGGAUUGACAGAUUGACAGCUCUUUCUUGAUUCAGUGGGUAGUGGUGCAUGGCCGUUCUUAGUUGGUGGAGCGAUUUGUCUGGUUAAUUCCGAUAACGAACGAGACUCUGGCAUGCUAACUAGUUACGCGACCCCCGAGCGGUCGGCGUCCCCCAACUUCUUAGAGGGACAAGUGGCGUUCAGCCACCCGAGAUUGAGCAAUAACAGGUCUGUGAUGCCCUUAGAUGUCCGGGGCUGCACGCGCGCUACACUGACUGGCUCAGCGUGUGCCUACCCUACGCCGGCAGGCGCGGGUAACCCGUUGAACCCCAUUCGUGAUGGGGAUCGGGGAUUGCAAUUAUUCCCCAUGAACGAGGAAUUCCCAGUAAGUGCGGGUCAUAAGCUUGCGUUGAUUAAGUCCCUGCCCUUUGUACACACCGCCCGUCGCUACUACCGAUUGGAUGAUUUAGUGAGGUGUUUUGACUAGCGCCUGUAGUCGGAUGUAUAUUCGGCUUCGCGCCGGGAAAUUUCCCAAACCAAAUCAUCUAGAGGAAGUAAAAGUCGUAACAAGGUUUCCGUAGGUGAACCUGCGGAAG